GGCAGGAGUGCGUAAUGAUGGUGGCAGGUGUGCGUAAUGAUGGUGGCAGGUGUGCGUAAUGAUGGUGGCAGGAGUGCGUAAUGAUGGUGGCAGGAGUGCGUAAUGAUGGUGGCAGGAGUGCGUAAUGAUGGUGGCAGGAGUGCGUAAUGAUGGUGGCAGGUGUGCGUAAUGAUGGUGGCAGGAGUGCGUAAUGAUGGUGGCAGGAGUGCGUAAUGAUGGUGGCAGGUGUGCGUAAUGAUGGUGGCAGGAGUGCGUAAUGAUGGUGGCAGGUGUGCGUAAUGAUGGUGGCAGGUGUGCGUAAUGAUGGUGGCAGGAGUGCGUAAUGAUGGUGGCAGGAGUGCAUAAUGAUGGUGGCAGGUGUGCGUAAUGAUGGUGGCAGGAGUGCGUAAUGAUGGUGGCAGGUGUGCGUAAUGAUGGUGGCAGGUGUGCGUAAUGAUGGUG
ensembl:lncRNA